rnacentral:rRNA from 1 species
UACGUAGGGGGCUAGCGUUGUCCGGAUUUAUUGGGCGUAAAGAGCGUGUAGGCGGCCAGAUAGGUCUGCUGUGAAAACUCGAGGCUCAACCUCGAGAUGUCGGCGGAAACCAUUUGGCUAGAGUCCGGAAGAGGAAAGUGGAAUUCCCGGUGUAGUGGUGAAAUGCGUAGAUAUCGGGAGGAACACCAGUGGCGAAGGCGACUACCUGGCCUGUUCUUGACGCUGAGGCGCGAAAGCUAGGGGAGCAAACGGG